rnacentral:tRNA from 1 species
GGCGGAGAGGCUCUGGUGGGCCUUGCGGUCUUCAAAACCGUUGGGGGCGGCAGCACCGCCCCGGUGGGUUCGAUCCCCACCCGCCUC